GAUGAACGCUGGCGGCGUGCCUAAUACAUGCAAGUCGAACGCUGGAGAUCUAGCUUGCUAGAUCGAAGGAGUGGCGAAAGGGUGAGUAAUACAUAAGCAACCUACCCACGAAGGCUGGGAUAAUCUCUGGAAACGGGGACUAAUACCGGAUAGGUAAUCGGAAGGCAUCUUCUGGUUAUUAAAGGUUAAAAACACUGGUUGGUGGGCUUAUGGCGCAUUAGUUAGUUGGUGAGGUAACGGCCCACCAAGACGAUGAUGCGUAGCCGGCCUGAGAGGGUGAACGGCCACAUUGGGACUGAGACACGGCCCAGACUCCUACGGGAGGCAGCAGUAGGGAAUUUUCGGCAAUGGGGGCAACCCUGACCGAGCAACGCCGCGUGAGUGAAGACGGCCUUCGGGUUGUAAAGCUCUGUUGUAAGGGAAGAACGGUAGAUAGAGAAUAUCUAAGUGACGGUACCUUACCAGAAAGCCACGGCUAACUACGUG
rnacentral:rRNA from 1 species